rnacentral:rRNA from 1 species
AUGAUUUAUCUGCGGGCACUUGCCAUGACUCUCAUCUCUGAAGAAUAUCUCCCCGCGCUAUCCCAGGCGCUCCAGAAGAUGGAAUUUCUCAUGAGUCUCAAGUUGGCUGGGCGUCUCCUCCCAUCAAGCGUGUUCACAAACCCCAGCUCGCGCCGCCUCGAGGUCCUGGCGCUCCACGGAAGGCUCGACGCCGGUGACUCAAUGCACGGCCCGUUCUUCUUGCCCAACCUUGGCAUGCUCAGCAUUUCCGAAUCAUCUCUGAAGCAGGAUUUCAUCGACAAGGUGGCCACGCUGCCAAACCUCGCCGAGAUGGAGCUCCUGGGUGGCUCCUACAGCGAGGCGCAUUUGGUGUCCCCCGCGGAGGGGUUCCAGAGCCUCAGGAAGCUGAAGCUCGCCAACCUGAUGCAGCUGGAGUUGGCGGUGGUGCCGGCACCGGAGUCGACGCUCUUCACCAGCAGCGGCUGUCCCCUACUGAAGGUGGAACGCCUGCAACAAGUGGCUGCUGCUGAUCCUGCGGAAAAUGGGAUCCUUUCAGGACUUGAGGAACCGGAAUUUAAAGAUGAGAGGCCCUACAUUUUUUCAGAAAUCGAUCAAGCGGCUGCUAACGAUCCCACAGAAGAUCAGAUGCUUGUAAGGCGUGGGGUGGAAAGAUUCUUCCAAGCAGACACUGGGGAUGAUCCUAUGGAAGAUCAGAUGCUGGUAAGACAUGGGAUGGAAGGAUUGCAGGACAGCGAACACUUCCGGGAAGACACUGCAGAUGAUCCUUCAAAAGAUGAGAUGCUUGUAAGGCGUGGGAUGGAAGCACUGCAGUCCAGGAAAGAGUUCCAAGAGGACACUGCAGAUGAUCGUAUGGAAGAUCAGAUGCUUGUAAGACGUGGGAUGGAAGGCUUGCAGGACAUGGAACACCGCCAAGAGGAUGAUCCUACAGAAGAUCAGAUGCUUGUAAGACAUGGGAUGUAA